GAUGAACGCUGGCGGCGUGCUUAACACAUGCAAGUCGAACGGAAAGGCCAGUGCUUGCACUGGUACUCGAGUGGCGAACGGGUGAGUAACACGUGGGUGAUCUGCCCUGCACUUCGGGGUAAGCCUGGGAAACUGGGUCUAAUACCGGAUAGGACAAUGGUUUGGAUGCCGUUGUGGAAAGUUUUUUCGGUGUGGGAUGAGCUCGCGGCCUAUCAGCUUGUUGGUGGGGUAAUGGCCUACCAAGGCGUCGACGGGUAGCCGGCCUGAGAGGGUGUACGGCCACAUUGGGACUGAGAUACGGCCCAGACUCCUACGGGAGGCAGCAGUGGGGAAUAUUGCACAAUGGGCGCAAGCCUGAUGCAGCGACGCCGCGUGGGGGAUGACGGCCUUCGGGUUGUAAACUCCUUUCGCUAGGGACGAAGCGUAUUUGUGACGGUACCUGGAGAAGAAGCACCGGCUAACUACGUG
rnacentral:rRNA from 1 species